rnacentral:rRNA from 1 species
UCCUAGUAACGGCGAGUGAACGGAGAUUAGCCCAUCACCGAAGCCUGCGUGUAUUUGCAUGCUAGGCAAUGUGGUGUUAAAGCUUGUACCUGGGAUCGUGUUCCUACCCGAAGUCUAAAUCCGAUUGUGGCUUUGGAUUCAUUCCAUAGCGGGUGAAAGUCCCGUGCGGGUAGGACUAUUGCAAAUCACACGGUCCUCAGAUGUGCAUGCUUUCGAGUCGGAUUGCUUGAGAAUGCAGUCCAAAGUGGGUGGUAAACUCCAUCCAAGGCUAAAUACUGGCACGAGUCCGAUAGUAGACAAGUACCGUGAGGGAAAGUUGAAAAGUACUCUGAAGAGAGAGUAAAUAGUACGUGAAGCCGAUUGCAGGGAAGCUGGUGGAGUCAAGCUUCGUGCUUGAGGGAUUGAUGCUGGGAGCAGGUGUGUGAUUUGGAUGUGAGGAUGGACAACUUGGAAUAAGUUGGGCGUGUUCUGAAUGCGCUUCAAGUCAUUCUGGGUAGAGUGUUAUGAGCCUUCCUCACUUUCCUACUCUCAGUGUUGUAUUCCUCGCUGCACAGGCCACAGUCAAUGGGUGCAUGCGGUGUGAAGGCCUAACUGUGCUGCGGAGGGUGCAAGCUCUCCGUGUGCAGGAUGGCAGGUGCUGUCUUCGGGCCUUGUGUUCGUUGAUAGUUGUUGUGG